GAUUCCCCUAGUAACUGCGAGUGAAGCGGGAAAAGCUCAAAUUUGAAAUCUGGCAGUCUAUUUUUUCUUCUUUGGCUGUCCGAGUUGUAAUCUAGAGAAGUGCUUACCUGCACUGGACCAUGUAUAAGUCUCCUGGAAUGGAGCGUCACAGAGGGUGAGAAUCCCGUCUUUGACAUGGACUGCCAGUGUGUUGUGGUGUGCUCUCAAAGAGUCGAGUUGUUUGGGAAUGCAGCUCUAAAUGGGUGGUAAACUCCAUCUAAAGCUAAAUAUUGGCGAGAGACCGAUAGCGAACAAGUACCGUGAGGGAAAGAUGAAAAGGACUUUGGAAAGAGAGUUAAACAGUAUGUGAAAUUGUUGAAAGGGAAACGCUUGAAGUCAGUUAUGUUGGCUAGGGAUCAACCUAGCUGUCUUUUGCUGGGUGAAUUUCCUAGUCUGACAGGCCAACAUCAGUCUUGACUGCUGGAAAAGAGCAGAGGGAAUGUGGCACCUUCGGGUGUGUUAUAGCCCUUUGUCAUAUGUGGCGGUUGGGACUGAGGGAUGCAGCGUGCCGCGAGGCUGGGUUUCGACCACGUUCACGCUUAGGAUGUUGGCUUUUAAUGGCUUCAAUCGACCCGUCUUGAAACACGGACCAAGGAGUCUAACAUGCCUGCAAGUGUUUGGGUGGAAAACCCUUGCGCACAAUGAAAGUGAAAGUUGAGAUCCCUGUCAUGGGGAGCAUCGACGCCCGGACUUGAGCUUUUAGCGACGGAUCCGCGGUAGAGCAUGCAUGUUGGGACCCGAAAGAUGGUGAACUAUGCCUGAAUAGGGCAAAGCCAGAGGAAACUCUGGUGGAGGCUCGUAGCGAUUCUGACGUGCAAAUCGAUCGUCAAAUUUGGGUAUAGGGGCGAAAGACUAAUCGA
rnacentral:rRNA from 1 species